UUGCGCGUUCGAGUGUCGACCUCCCCUUUCCCUUUAGUUCGCUUUUAUUAUUAUUUUUUUCCCUAUUUGGAUCUCUGGUAGACCAUUUGUUGACGCUCCGGCGAAUUUUCCUGGAGCUAGGCGACGCUGCAGCGGCAGCGGCGUGCAUUCGGAGAAGCCUUGUGCCCACAAACAUGGCGUCAGCCAGCGAGAGAUUGGAGCUGGUGAAGCUCUGCAGCUCGCGCAACUGGUCCAAAGCUAUCCGAGUACUCGAUUCUCUGCUCUCUCGCUCGUGUUCCAUUCAGGAUCUCUGCAAUCGCGCCUUUUGUUACAGCCAGUUAGAACUGCACAAGCACGUCAUCAAGGAUUGUGAUAGGGCUCUUGAGCUUGAUCCUGCUCUUCUUCAAGCUUAUAUACUUAAAGGCAACGCUUUCUCAGCACUAGGCAGAAAGGAGGAUGCUUUGCAUGUAUGGGAGGAAGGCUAUACAAAAAAUGUUUAUGAAUCGACAGAUAUAAAUCAGUUGUUGAAACUGGAAGAAUUAGUGGAAUCUGUGAAACAAAAUUCAGCCAUUGCCAAUGAAAAUGAUUCCAACGAAUUUUCUAAUGCUGUGACAAGAAAGCCUGAGAAUGAAGUAAUGUCUACUGAAUGUGAAAGUGAUGCCAUUGAUUGCUCUGAUGCAGUAACAUGCAAGUCUGAUCCUGAAGUUAUAAGUGGAGAUUCUGCCUUAAACUCUUCAAACACCACUAUUUUGUCUACUGAUAUCGAAUCUAGAAGUCUGAGUAAAGCAAUUGAUUCAUCUGAUAUCAUUCAACCAAGGGAUGUUACUGAGAAAUGUGGCAGAUCAGAUGAGACUAUUAAAGUUAGCAAGAAAAUGUUUGUUGCUGGUAAUACAAUAAAUUUGGAUAUUCGGUUGUCCCGAGGAAUAGCACAGGUUAAUGAAGGGAACUAUGUUGACGCUAUAUCUAUUUUUGACCAGGUUCUGAGUGAAAAACCCAAAUAUGCUGAGGCUCUUAUAGGUCGAGGGACAGCUUAUGCUUUUAAAAGAGAGCUCGAAGCUGCUAUUGAUGAUUUUACUAUGGCUAUUAAGUGCAAUUCAUCCGCUGGUGAAGCUUGGAAGCGGCGGGGACAGGCUCGUGCUGCAUUAGGUGAAUUUGAGGAGGCUAUUGAGGACUUGGGGAAAGCUUUAGAAUUUGAGCCAAAUUCGUCUGAUAUUUUACAUGAAAGGGGAAUUGUUAGUUUCAAGUUCAAAGACUAUCAUGCCGCAGUGGAAGAUCUGUCUUCUUGUGUCAAAUGUGAUAGGGAAAACAAGUCUGCAUACACAUACUUAGGUCUUGCUUUGUUUCACAUUGGCGAAUAUUGUCAAGCCGAAGAGGCGCAUCGCAAAUCAAUAAAACUUGAUAGAAGUUUUCUAGAGGCAUGGACCCAUCUUGCGCAGUUUUAUCAAGAUCUGGCAAAACCAGAGGAAGCAUUACAAUGCAUUGAGCAAAUAUUACUUGUUGAUGGAAGGUUUGCCAAAGCAUACUACUUGCGUGGGUUACUAUAUCAUAUGAUGGGGCAACAUAGGGCUGCUGUGAAAGAUUUAACUUCAGGACUGAAUAUCGACAGUUCAAACAUUGAAAGCCUGUACUUGCGGGCAUCAUGUUACCAUGCCAUUGGAGAAUAUAGAGAGGCGGUCAAAGAUUAUGAUUCAGUCUUGGAUUUAGAGAAUGAUUCAAUGGAUAAGUUUGUGCUCCAGUGCUUAGCAUUUUAUCAGAAAGAAAUUGCUCUUUACACUGCUUCAAAGGCCAGCAGUGAAUUCUCUUGGUUUGAUAUUGAUGGUGAUGUCGAUCCCCUCUUUAAGGAGUAUUGGUGCAAAAAAUUGCACCCAAAGUAUGUAUGUGAAAGAGUUUUCAGGCAACCUACUUUACGAGAUUCAUUGAAGAAGGGUCGACUCAAGAAGCAAGAAUUCCCUUUUACAAAGCAAAAAACGAACCUUCUACGGGCAGCAGAUCGUAUAGGACAAAAGAUUCAGUAUCAUUGCCCAGGCUUCUUGCCCAAUAAACGUCAGUAUCGAAUGGCUGGGCUAGCGGCAAUUGAGAUUGCCCAAAAGGUUGGAAAGGCAUGGCGUUUGCUUAGAAGUGCUAGUAAAAGUGGAAAAAAAGCUAAGAGAAGAGAGAGGCCUACUAUUCAGAGCUAUAAUAGAGGUGGCGUUUGUUGUAGUACUAGCAGCCUAUCAGAAACAUCAGCCUCGUAUAGCUCGAGUGAAGAUAAAUUUUCUUCCAACCGUACCUUUUCUUGGAAGGAUAUUUAUGCAAUAGCUGUCAAAUGGAGGCAGAUCUCAGAGCCUUGUGAUCCUGUUGUUUGGAUCAACAAAUUGAGUGAAGAGGCUGAUUCUGGAGUUGGUUAUCAGAUUCCAAUUCUUCUUGGCCAAGCAAAAGUUGUCCGCUAUUUUCCAAUGAAUCUGAGGACCCUGAAUGUUGUGAAGUCUAUCAUAAGGAAGUUGAAGUACGUGCAUGUUGAUGAUAAAGUUUUUAAUAUCUCUGAAGCUGAAACACUGAAAAAGAUAGCACAUGUUGAAUCCUGUUCGGAACUUUAUGGAAUUAUUGGCAAGAAUUUCUGGGUUACUACUAAGUGCGACAGUACAGCUUUUGAGGGGAAGCAACUUGAAGGGACACGGAUUAGCAUUCGCAGGAUGGGAAAAUUGGGAUUUGAUUUUGCAAUUCAAACACCUUCGUCUUCUUCUAGAUGGGAAGAUUAUAAUAGAGAAAUGGAAGCAGCAUGGGAGGACCUAUGCACUGCAUGCUGCGAUGAGCUCUAUGGCUCAAGUGAUCCGAGUUUGCUUGAGAAUGUAAAUGAUGCAAUCCUAAGAAUGACAUACUACUGGUUUAACUUUAUGCCGCUGGCGCGAGGGUCUGCUGUUGUUGGAUUAACAGUUAUGUUAGGGUUAUUCCUUGCAACCAACAUGGAUGUAACGGCUAGUAUCCCACCCGGUGUCCAGGUGGACUGGGAAGCCCUCUUAUCCCCCAACUCCCAGUUAUUUAUCAACACUAUAAAAACAUGGCUAUAUCCAUCCCUCAGAUAUAACGUCGCUUGGAAAGACUAUCCAGAUGUAACUUCAACGUUCUCAACCACUGGAUCAGUAGUUGCUGCCUUGAGUAAUUAUUUUUUAUCGUAAUUAUUCUCUUUGGUCUUAAGGUAUACUCUUCUCAGCCAUUUUAAAGAGGAAAUCAUAUUUUAAUUAUAGCAAUUUGAUGGGAAGGCUUUCCUUGUAUGAAUUGUAAAGAGUUAAAGGUUCAAAAAAGGUGCUUGUAUUUGGAAAAUGAUGCCCAAGCUCAAUAAUGUUUAAAAGGGCCUAUCCAACACAGGAGACUCCUUGCAGGAUUUUGAAGGGAUUAAUCGCUAUAUAAGGAGAAUAAUUGGAUAGAGAAAGGAAUAUUUUAUUGGAGUUCUAGGUUUGAUAGUAGCGUUUGUAAGAGAGAGAUGAUGGGGGAUCAGAUUUAAGGCAGCACUGUUAUCCCUUUUUUUUUCAUUUUUUGGAAGGGAGAGUAAAGGCAGGUUGGAGGGAGACAAUUGAGAUUUUGCUCUUUCACAAGGAAUAAAUGUAUAAUAAGGAGGUUAACUUAGUAGGAAAAGCUGUAUUGAGAAAGGAAGAAAGUUUACUGUUGUAUUUCCCUGGUUUCUUGUUGCGGUUGGGCCUAGCAUUUAAAUGCGAGUCUGUAUUUAGAUCCAAGUAGUUAAGUCUAUUAUGAAUAAAGAUCUAGGAUCAUUUUAGAUGAAAAGUGUUAUGAUUUGCA